rnacentral:lncRNA from 1 species
GAAAAAAGUUAAAAUUGAGGCAUUCAGGAGAUAUGGGAACGCUUAUUAAAGGCCUAGAUAAAUAUAAUCAAGAAGAGAUAAAAGAGAUAAUGUCCAAAUCACAAGACAAAUCAGAACUUCAAAAUAUGAAGAAAAUACAGAGCAAAAAUCACAUUGAACAAUCGGUUAAAGAAAGAAAAAAGUUGGAAGGAUUUCAA